rnacentral:tRNA from 1 species
UCUAAUAUGGCAGAUUAGUGCAAUGAAUUUAAGCUUCAUAUAUAAAGACUGGGGCUUUUGUUAGAA